UUCAUCCAGAGUAACGGAGGGACUGGCCCUAUGAAGUUACGGCAACCAUCUGGAAAGCGCUCCUUUCCACGAACGGUGCUAAGUCCAUCAGGCAUUGCCUGAAAGAUGAA
rnacentral:ncRNA from 1 species